rnacentral:rRNA from 1 species
GACGAACGCUGGCGGCGUGCUUAACACAUGCAAGUCGAACGGAAAGGCCCUGCUUUUGUGGGGUGCUCGAGUGGCGAACGGGUGAGUAACACGUGAGUAACCUGCCCUUGACUUUGGUAUAACUUCAGGAAACUGGGGCUAAUACCGGAUAGGAUCUCCUGCUGCAUGGUGGGGGUUGGAACGUUUCGGCUGUUGGGGAUGGACUCGCGGCUUAUCAGCUUGUUGGUGGGGUAGUGGCUUACCAAGGCUUUGACGGGUAGCCGGCCUGAGAGGGUGACCGGCCACAUGGGGACUGAGAGACGGAGCAGACUCCUACGGGAGGCAGCAGUGGGGAAUAUUGCACAAUGGGCGGAAGCCUGAUGAAGCAACGCCGCGUGCGGGAUGACGGCCUUCGGGUUGUAAACCGCUUUCGCCUGUGACGAAGCGUGAGUGACGGUAAUGGGUAAAGAAGCACCGGCUAACUACGUG